GUUACCUAUCAUUCAGGGCUUUACAGGUUUUUAUCUCUGGGCUUCACCCCCCAGUAGCCAGCUGUGUACAGGGAGCACUGCCCUGUAAGCAGGGUUGCCGGUGUUUGUGGUCACCUUCAUGGUGCCACCCUAGCACUUCUGUCCAGAGUCCUGGCCCUUCGCACUCUGCUUCUGGCUGGCCCGGAUCUUGGCAGCCGCGCCCGCAGACGUCUGCCCUCCCCCAUUUCCACGGACAGGACAGUGGCCGCAGGUCCAGAGGAAGAAGCAGAGAAGACAACAGACAAAUAGGAGUUAACCAGUAACCAAGGCAGAAAACCGUGCCAGCCCACCGGGAGACAAAGGUCCCUGAAGAGCAGCUGGAGAAGAAGGAGCAGAAGCAGGACAAGAAAGCUCAGAAGCAACAAGUGUGGGUUGGGGUGGACAGGAGGAAGAGAGGCAUAUGUUUAAUGUAUGCUUAGAUAAGUACAGCUGGAGACUGUCAUGUGCAUCUCUACACUUUCAAACUGUCAGGAGCAAGCUGCUGCAUGCUUCAAGUUGCACCAUAGACUCGGUCUUGGGUUGGCUUUGAUUUGUAGGCAGUGAGUUUGAGGCAUUGAGCUAGUUGUGCGUUUUGAUACGUGGCAGUCUAGGUUUUUGCAGGUUGUUUGGCUUUGUUAGUUCAGGAGUUGAUCAGAACAGAUGUGAUUGAAGGUAGUGUGUAGGGUUUUCUGGGUUGGCUUGUUGAGCAGUUCUCAGUGUUGGUGCAGAAAUGCAGGUUUGUGCUCAGUUUGGUUAGUGGUUUGGCUGUAGCUUGCUUUAGCUGUAGGUUGUGGGGCCAGUUUGAGGCUGUGUGUGGUGCAAUUUGCGUCUAAGUUAAGGCUCCGUGGGCGUUUGAAAGGGUUAAUCUCCAUCUCCACGGGCACGAAGAUCUCGUGUCCAAAUGAACCUAGAGGUAGUUGGCAUGCUCAACACCAAACCGGAUGUGCACAAUCGAACAAUAAAAGGUAUAAAAAAAACUUUUCACCUUGUGGCUGGUGCUCUUCUAUACUGAGAAGACUUGGCCAUUACCCUUUCCUGUUGAGCACUGGCUGGAGGAAUAAACGUUUUCAUUCUGUCUACUGAUCUGAUCUGUGUUCUUACUUGUUGAAUAAAAAUAUUUCCUGUUCUGACUUACAAAUGGUAAAAUAAUGUGACAGGUGAUGCCUAGUCACCAAUUUACAACUGUUAAUGCACUGUAGGAAAUGAUUUAUUUGAGGAAAUAAAAAAAAAGAUAUGGUGAAGUUGUGCUUGGGUGCAAUCUGUUGAAGUUCAGCUGUCCCUUGUUUCAAAAGAAAAAAAUGGUCCCAAUAAAAAGAAAAUGCUCAGGAAA